GGCCGGUUGGCGCAAUGGUAGCGCGCAGCCCUCCUAAGGCUGAGGCUGUGGGUACGUAGUUGAUUCUAUUGGUCA